rnacentral:lncRNA from 1 species
AUGGGAUUGCCUUUGAAACUGAUUGCAUUUGCCAAAUUCAGCCUGCUUUCUUUUUCACUCCUGUCAGAUCCUGAGGGACUGUGCUUUCCCUGGAGCUGGCUGUCAGUGUGAGGUGCCAAAACAGGAAGAGUAAUGAAAGUGUACUCAUCCUAUCUCACAUGUCAGGCAGAGGAAUGUGCAGCAGAAGGAGAUGAUGGCUACAUUUUCCAGAUCCCAAUUUGGCUGGACUGCAGUCACAUCCCAAAUCUGUCUUUCCUCACUGUGCUCUCAAGGAUGAUUAUCUUCCAGAGACUCCAGCAGGACUGA